rnacentral:rRNA from 1 species
CCGGCGCACGGGUGAGUAACACGUAUGCAACCUGCCCUCUUCAGGGGGACAACCUUCCGAAAGGGAGGCUAAUCCCGCGUAUAUCGGUUUCGGGCAUCCGAGAUCGAGGAAAGAUUCAUCGGAAGAGGAUGGGCAUGCGGCGCAUUAGCUAGACGGCGGGGUAACGGCCCACCGUGGCGACGAUCAGUAGCCGGCCUGAGAGGGCGGACGGCCACAUUGGGACUGAGACACGGCCCAGACUCCUACGGAAGGCAGCAG